rfam:Gossypium hirsutum cultivar TM-1 unplaced genomic scaffold scaffold1917.1, whole genome shotgun sequence
UAUUAAAAAUUUUACCCAUUUUUAUUGUUAAAAAUUGACAUGGCCGACAAAAUAACCAAAUAGUUAUACUUGGUGUGCCAUGUGUACUUUAUGUAGACGUAUACUAGUUUUUAAUAGUAAAAAUAAAUAUAAUUUUUAAUA